rnacentral:piRNA from 1 species
UGCAACUAGAUGGACCUGCUUGGA